rnacentral:rRNA from 1 species
ACGUGAUCUGAGUUCAGACCGGAGCAAUCCAGGUCAGUUUCUAUCUAUAAAGAGCUUCUUCUAGUACGAAAGGACCGAAAAAGCAUGGUCUAUACUUCAAGCAAACCAUCAUAAAUAACUUUUGAUUUAAACUUAAUAAACAACUUACCUUCAACUAACCUCAAAAUAAGGGA